AUUGAACGCUGGCGGCAGGCCUAACACAUGCAAGUCGAACGAGUGGCGGACGGGUGAGUAAUGUCUGGGAAACUGCCUGAUUGAGGGGGAUAACUACUGGAAACGGUAGCUAAUACCGCAUACUAUCGGAUGUACCCAUAUGGGAUUAGCUAGUAGGUGGGGUAAAGGCUCACCUAGGCGACGAUCUCUAGCUGGUCUGAGAGGAUGACCAGCCACACGGGAACUGAGACACGGUCCAGACUCCGACGGGAGGCAGCAGUGGGGAAUAUUGCACAAUGGGCGCAAGCCUGAUGCAGCCAUGCCGCGUGUAUGAAGAAGGCCGUCGGGUUGUAAAGUACUUUCAGCGGGGAGGCGUUACCCGCAGAAGAAGCACCGGCUAACUCCGUGCCAGCAGCCGCGGUAAUAC
rnacentral:rRNA from 1 species